rnacentral:lncRNA from 1 species
AAACAUACAAGCUUCAUAUUACAAGCCAGGGGCCUCGAGGGAUAGAAUACAGAAGCUUGAUAAACACACGAGUCAGUGGAAGCAACAAAUAUCUGAGUACAGACAUGAAACAUGAAGUGUCUUAGAGAAGGCUAGAACAAAAGAUACAACGAUCGAACGAGGCAAGGCCUCCUCCAUGGGAGCCUCCUAACUACUCUUGGUCUUCAGUGGCAUCCACGUAGUAGUAGGCACCAUCGGGGUAGCAGUCGUUGUCGGCGGGAUAGACCAUCUCCUGGGCUCCAUCAUCUGGUCGCAGCAACGGAUCGAGGAGAAAAAGGGGAAGCAAAGCAACGUGAGUACUCAUCCAAAGUACUCGCAAGACUGACAUCAAAACUAUGCUAAGUAUGCAUUAGUAUCAAAGGAAAGGAUUUAUGUGUACUGACUGCAGCAAUGCGAGAAUAGAGAGAAAAGGCCUAGUCCUAUCAAAGACUAGCAUCUUCAGGGGUCUUGCAGCAAUAGACGAGAGUAGAGCAGGUAACACAAAUA